UACGUAGGGUGCAAGCGUUAAUCGGAAUUACUGGGCGUAAAGCGUGCGCAGGCGGUUUUGUAAGUCUGACGUGAAAUCCCCGGGCUCAACCUGGGAAUUGCAUUGGAGACUGCAAGGCUAGAAUCUGGCAGAGGGGGGUAGAAUUCCACGUGUAGCAGUGAAAUGCGUAGAGAUGUGGAGGAACACCGAUGGCGAAGGCAGCCCCCUGGGUCAAGAUUGACGCUCACGCACGAAAGCGUGGGGAGCAAACAGG
rnacentral:rRNA from 1 species